GAUGAACGCUAGCGGAAGGCUUAAUACAUGCAAGUCGAGCGGUAGGUGGCUUCGGCCAUUGAGAGCGGCGCACGGGUGAGUAACGCGUACAUGACCUGCCUGUCAGAAGGGGAUAGCCCUGGGAAACUGGGAUUAAUACCCUAUGGUAUUGAUAUUAUGAAUGAUAUCAAUUAAAGUUGAGGCGCUGACAGAUGGAUGUGCGUCUGAUUAGCUAGUUGGUAGGGUAACGGCCUACCAAGGCGACGAUCAGUAGGGGGCGUGAGAGCGUGGUCCCCCACACGGGUACUGAGACACGGACCCGACUCCUACGGGAGGCAGCAGUAAGGAAUAUUGGGCAAUGGUCGAAAGACUGACCCAGCCAUGCCGCGUGCAGGAUGAAGGCCCUACGGGUUGUAAACUGCUUUUAGCCGGGAAUAAACACCCGUUUUAUAACGGGCCCGAAGGUACCGGCUGAAUAAGCAUCGGCUAACUCCGUG
rnacentral:rRNA from 1 species